rnacentral:rRNA from 1 species
GACGAACGCUGGCGGCGUGCUUAACACAUGCAAGUCGAACGGAAAGGCCCUGCUUUUGUGGGGUGCUCGAGUGGCGAACGGGUGAGUAACACGUGAGUAACCUGCCCUUGACUUUGGGAUAACUUCAGGAAACUGGGGCUAAUACCGGAUAGGAGCUCCUGCUGCAUGGUGGGGGUUGGAAAGUUUCGGCGGUUGGGGAUGGACUCGCGGCUUAUCAGCUUGUUGGUGGGGUAGUGGCUUACCAAGGCUUUGACGGGUAGCCGGCCUGAGAGGGUGGCCGGCCACAUUGGGACUGAGGUACGGCCCAGACUCCUACGGGAGGCAGCAGGGGGGAAUAUUGCACAAUGGGCGGAAGCCUGAUGCAGCAACGCCGCGUGCGGGAUGACGGCCUUCGGGUUGUAAACCGCUUUCGCCUGUGACGAAGCGUGAGUGACGGUAAUGGGUAAAGAAGCACCGGCUAACUACGUG